CCUACGGGUGGCAGCAGUGAGGAAUAUUGGUCAAUGGUCGGGAGACUGAACCAGCCAAGCCGCGUGAGGGAUGAAGGUACAGAGUAUCGUAAACCUCUUUUGUCAGGGAACAAAGGCGGGGACGUGUCCCCGGAUGAGUGUACCUGACGAAAAAGCAUCGGCUAACUCCGUGCCAGCAGCCGCGGUAAUACGGGGGAUGCGAGCGUUAUCCGGAUUUAUGGGGUUUAAGGGGUGCGCGGGCGGUCUGUUAAGUCCGCGGUCAAAGCCCGGGGCUCAACCCCGGCCCGCCGUUGAAACUGGCAGUCUUGAGUUGGAGAGAAGUAUGCGGAAUGCGCGGUGUAGCGGUGAAAUGCAUAGAUAUCGCGAAGAACUCCGAUGGCGAAGGCAGCAUGCCGGCUCCAAACUGACGCUGAGGCACGAAAGCGUGGGUAUCGAACAGGAUUAGAUACCCGGGUAGUC
rnacentral:rRNA from 1 species